UACGUAGGGGGCAAGCGUUGUCCGGAAUCAUUGGGCGUAAAGCGCGUGUAGGCGGCUGGGUAAGUCCGCUCUGAAAGCCCGGGGCUCAACCCCGGGAGGCGGGUGGAUACUGCUCAGCUCGAGUCCGGAAGAGGAGUGUGGAAUUCCUGGUGUAGCGGUGAAAUGCGCAGAUAUCAGGAGGAACACCAAUGGCGAAGGCAGCACUCUGGGACGGUACUGACGCUGAGACGCGAAAGCGUGGGUAGGCAAACGGG
rnacentral:rRNA from 1 species